CGAGCUCUUUAAAUAACUAAAAUUUAACUGUCGAGAGUGGAGAAAUAUCGUCAUACACGAGUUAUAGUGUCGGAAUCUGUUUCUCUAAUGAUCUUUAUCCUUCUUUUUCAAAGAUUUUCAGAGACUUGUGUUCUUUAUAUGCGACGUCAUCAGGCAUGGUCGCCUUUUUUCAUGACGUCACAAUAGGAAAAUUCAGAAGAAAACAAAACAUUUAGACGUCAUAAUCAAAUUUCGACUAAUCAUUUGCCGAGAACAGAUUUUUCACUAGUGAGGAGAAAUAUUUUUCUCACACCGGUCAGGAAAUGUGAAAAUAGCACAAAAAUUAGAGAAUCAUAUCAUCAUAA
rnacentral:lncRNA from 1 species